ensembl:scaRNA
ACUAGAGGACUAAGGAGGCUGGGUCUGAUGAGCAAGAUUUUGCUGAUAUGUUGCUCCUAGAAAAAAGGGUUGGCAAGAGCAGCCCUCACUGCCUCACUGGAGACUAUCACAGGGCUGACUGUUCUACCCAACACUU